CAUGGCCAUUGAAGUCUUUGAGCUGCCUGAGAAUGAGGACAUGUUUUCUCCAUCAGACCUGGACACAAGCAAGCUCAGUCACAAGUUUAAAGAGUUGCAAAUCAAACAUGCAGUAACAGAAGCAGAGAUUCAAAAAUUGAAGACCAAGUUGCAGGCCGCAGAAAAUGAGAAAGUGAGGUGGGAACUAGAAAAAACCCAACUCCAACAGAACAUAGAAGAGAAUAAAGAAAGAAUGCUGAA
rnacentral:lncRNA from 1 species